rnacentral:rRNA from 2 species
CUUGCUCCCUGAAGUCAGCGGCGGACGGGUGAGUAACACGUGGGCAACCUGCCUGUAAGACUGGGAUAACUCCGGGAAACCGGGGCUAAUACCGGAUAAUUCUUUCCCUCACAUGAGGGAAAGCUGAAAGAUGGUUUCGGCUAUCACUUACAGAUGGGCCCGCGGCGCAUUAGCUAGUUGGUGAGGUAACGGCUCACCAAGGCGACGAUGCGUAGCCGACCUGAGAGGGUGAUCGGCCACACUGGGACUGAGACACGGCCCAGACUCCUACGGGAGGCAGCAGUAGGGAAUCUUCCGCAAUGGACGAAAGUCUGACGGAGCAACGCCGCGUGAGUGAUGAAGGUUUUCGGAUCGUAAAACUCUGUUGUUAGGGAAGAACAAGUACCGGAGUAACUGCCGGUACCUUGACGGUACCUAACCAGAAAGCCACGGCUAACUACGUGCCAGCAGCCGCGGUAAUACGUAGGUGGCAAGCGUUGUCCGGAAUUAUUGGGCGUAAAGCGCGCGCAGGCGGUUCCUUAAGUCUGAUGUGAAAGCCCCCGGCUCAACCGGGGAGGGUCAUUGGAAACUGGGGAACUUGAGUGCAGAAGAGAAGAGUGGAAUUCCACGUGUAGCGGUGAAAUGCGUAGAGAUGUGGAGGAACACCAGUGGCGAAGGCGACUCUUUGGUCUGUAACUGACGCUGAGGCGCGAAAGCGUGGGGAGCAAACAGGAUUAGAUACCCUGGUAGUCCACGCCGUAAACGAUGAGUGCUAAGUGUUAGAGGGUUUCCGCCCUUUAGUGCUGCAGCAAACGCAUUAAGCACUCC